AGCGGCGAACGGGUGAGUAACACGUAGGUGAUCUGCCCAUCAGACGGGGACAACGAUUGGAAACGAUCGCUAAUACCGGAUAGGACGAAAGUUUAAAGGUGCCUCUGGCACCGCUGAUGGAUGAGCCUGCGGCGCAUUAGCUAGUUGGUAGGGUAAAGGCCUACCAAGGCGACGAUGCGUAGCCGACCUGAGAGGGUGAACGGCCACACUGGGACUGAGACACGGCCCAGACUCCUACGGGAGGCAGCAGUAGGGAAUCUUCGGCAAUGGGCGAAAGCCUGACCGAGCAACGCCGCGUGAAUGAUGAAGGCCUUCGGGUUGUAAAAUUCUGUUAUAAGGGAAGAACGACUUUAGUAGGAAAUGGCUAGAGUGUGACGGUACCUUAUGAGAAAGCCACGGCUAACUACGUGCCAGCAGCCGCGGUAAUACGUAGGUGGCGAGCGUUAUCCGGAAUUAUUGGGCGUAAAGAGCGCGCAGGUGGUUGAUUAAGUCUGAUGUGAAAGCCCACGGCUUAACCGUGGAGGGUCAUUGGAAACUGGUCGACUUGAGAGCAGAAGAGGGAAGUGGAAUUCCAUGUGUAGCGGUGAAAUGCGUAGAGAUAUGGAGGAACACCAGUGGCGAAGGCGGCUUCCUGGUCUGUAACUGACACUGAGGCGCGAAAGCGUGGGGAGCAAACAGGAUUAGAUACCCUGGUAGUCCACGCCGUAAACGAUGAGUGCUAAGUGU
rnacentral:rRNA from 1 species